rnacentral:rRNA from 1 species
GAUGAACGCUGGCGGCGUGCCUAACACAUGCAAGUCGAACGGAGAUUACGGACGGAAGUUUUCGGAUGGAAGCCUGUAAUUCUUAGUGGCGGACGGGUGAGUAACGCGUGGGCAACCUGCCCUAUACAGGGGGAUAGCAGCUGGAAACGGCUGGUAAGACCGCAUAAGUCGGUUAAAUCGCAUGAUUUGAUCGGGAAAUGAGCAAUCAGGUAUAGGAUGGGCCCGCGUCCGAUUAGCCAGUUGGCAGGGUAAAAGCCUACCAAAGCGACGAUCGGUAGCCGGACUGAGAGGUCGGACGGCCACAUUGGGACUGAGACACGGCCCAAACUCCUACGGGAGGCAGCAGUGGGGGAUAUUGCACAAUGGAGGAAACUCUGAUGCAGCGACGCCGCGUGAGUGAAGAAGUAUUUCGGUAUGUAAAGCUCUAUCAGCAGGGAAGAUGAUGACGGUACCUGACUAAGAAGCCCCGGCUAACUACG